CCGCCUUGGGAUGGGCCCGCGGCGCAUUAGCUUGUUGGUGGGGUAACGGCUCACCAAGGCGACGAUGCGUAGCUGGUCUGAGAGGACGAUCAGCCACACUGGGACUGAGACACGGCCCAG
rnacentral:rRNA from 1 species